CAGAUUGAACGCUGGCGGCAGGCCUAACACAUGCAAGUCGAACGGUAGCACAGAGAGCUUGCUCUCGGGUGACGAGUGGCGGACGGGUGAGUAAUGUCUGGGAAACUGCCUGAUGGAGGGGGAUAACUACUGGAAACGGUAGCUAAUACCGCAUAACGUCGCAAGACCAAAGAGGGGGACCUUCGGGCCUCUUGCCAUCAGAUGUGCCCAGAUGGGAUUAGCUAGUAGGUGGGGUAACGGCUCACCUAGGCGACGAUCCCUAGCUGGUCUGAGAGGAUGACCAGCCACACUGGAACUGAGACACGGUCCAGACUCCUACGGGAGGCAGCAGUGGGGAAUAUUGCACAAUGGGCGCAAGCCUGAUGCAGCCAUGCCGCGUGUAUGAAGAAGGCCUUCGGGUUGUAAAGUACUUUCAGCGGGGAGGAAGGUGUUGUGGUUAAUAACCGCAGCAAUUGACGUUACCCGCAGAAGAAGCACCGGCUAACUCCGUGCCAGCAGCCGCGGUAAUACGGAGGGUGCAAGCGUUAAUCGGAAUUACUGGGCGUAAAGCGCACGCAGGCGGUCUGUCAAGUCGGAUGUGAAAUCCCCGGGCUCAACCUGGGAACUGCAUUCGAAACUGGCAGGCUAGAGUCUUGUAGAGGGGGGUAGAAUUCCAGGUGUAGCGGUGAAAUGCGUAGAGAUCUGGAGGAAUACCGGUGGCGAAGGCGGGCCCCUGGACAAAGACUGACGCUCA
rnacentral:rRNA from 1 species